UUUAAAGCCAUGUCGGAAGUAAACAAAAUCAAGUAAAAGUUUGGUAUUUGACGUCCAUGUGUGGAAGGUCGUGUUUGUCUUUAUUUGCUUGU